AAUUAAAUUAUUAUUUAAAUUAAAAAUUUAGUUGUUUAUUAAAUUAAGAAAAAUAUUAUUUUAUUAUUUUAUAGAAAAAAUUUAAUUUUAUUAUAGUUUAAAAGUAUUGAAAAAGAAAUUUUUAAUUUUUAAAAAGAAAAAUUUAAUUUUUGUACCUUGUGUAUCAGGGUUUAUUAAAUUAAUAAAAAUAUUUUUAUUUCUCGAAUUUAAAAGAUCUAAUAAAUUAUGAUUAUUAUUGUAAAAUAACUAAAAUUUAAUAUUUUAUUAGUAAUGAAAUGUUUUUCGUUUUUAAAUAUAUCUAGUUUUUUAAGAAAUUAAUUUAAUUAAUUUAUUAUAAAUAUAUUUUUGUUUAAAUAAUUUUAUAUUAAUAAUAAAAAAUAUUUUUAGGGAUUAGCUUAAAAUUUGAUUUUUAUUAAAAAUUUAAAAAAUUAUAAAAUUAGGAUUAAAAAUUUCCAAAUUUUAAAGUAUGUUAUUAUUUAUUAUGGUGUAAUAAUUUUUUUAUUUUUUAUAAAUAUUUUAUUAAAAUAUAAAUUUAAAUUUUAAUGAUUUAGAAAUUAUGAUAGAAUUAGUAAAUUAUGAUGUAAAAUUUUAAUAUUUAUUAGAUUUUAUAAAGGAAUUCGGCAAAUUAUUUUUUACCUGUUUAUUAAAAACAUGUCUUUUUGUAAAAAUAUAAAGUCUAACCUGCCCUAUGAAAAUUUAAAUGGCCGCGGUAUAUUAACCGUGCUAAGGUAGCAUAAUCAUUAGUUUUUUAAUUGAAAGCUGGAAUGAAGGGUUGGAUAAAAAAAUAACUGUCUCUAUAAAAAUGAUUGAAUUUUAUUUUUAAGUUAAAAAGCUUAAAUUUUUUUAAAAGACGAGAAGACCCUAUAGAGUUUAAUAUAAAAUAUAAUUGUUUUUUUUAGUAUUUAUUUAAAUAAUUAGAUUUUAUAUUUAGUUGGGGUGAUUGAAAAAUUAAAUAAACUUUUUUUGUAUAAAAAUAUAUUUUUAUAAAUUAUUGAUCCAAAAAUUUUGAUUAUAAGAUAAAAUUACCUUAGGGAUAACAGCGUAAUUUUAUUAGAGAGUUCUUAUUGAUAAUAAAGAUUGCGACCUCGAUGUUGGAUUAAAAUUUAUAAUUGGUGCAGAAGCUAUAUUAUUAAGUCUGUUCGACUUUUAAAAUUUUACAUGAUCUGAGUUUAAACCGGUGUAAGCCAGGUUGGUUUCUAUCUUUAAUAAAUUUAUAUAUUUUAGUACGAAAGGACCAAUUAUAUAAAUAAUAUUUUAAAAUUGAAUAAUAAAU
rnacentral:rRNA from 1 species